rnacentral:sRNA from 12 species
GUACGGUUGAUUCGUCCCGUUCCGAUCGGCGCAGGAGCAUAAGAAAAAACAGCUUUUUAGACAAAAUGCUGAAUGGCGGAGC